UCUAGUGGAGAUUAUUUUUUCUUGGUAGAAAGUGGUUGUCAAUAUUUAGCACGCACUUUGUUAAGUGAACGAUUUGCACAUGGCAAUUGUUAUAUUCCAGCUAAGUUGAAUGAAAGUCCAAAAAUAAUUUGCAAAACACUUGUGUAACGCAUGGUUGACCUGAGUAAGAAAACAAGAGGCUAUAAACCGGAAACUGUAGGCAGCAUAUCAAGGCUAACAUUUUUGUUGAAACAAUAAUUAAAUCAACGCGUAGACAUACAAGUGGCAUUGAAAAUGGCAACAGCUAAGUUCAGUGUGAGUACGACGGGUAAUACGGGAGAGGAUAGUGAAUUGCAGUCAAUAGAGGUGGACAAAUCUUUGGCACUUGCUUCGAAAUUGAAUCAGACAAAUUCAGGCAGUGCAGAACCAGCGACUGGUUUGACCCAUGAAUGUGGAGUGUUUGGUGCUAUCGCUUGCGGCGAUUGGCCAACCCAAAUUGAUGUGGCACACGUGAUUUGUCUAGGUUUGGUCGCUCUACAACAUCGCGGCCAAGAAUCGGCAGGGAUUGUGACAAGUGAAGGAAAAUGCUCUAGAAAUUUUAAUACACACAAAGGUAUGGGCAUGAUAAGUACGCUCUUCAAUGACGAGUCAAUCAAGAAACUUAAAGGCAAUCUUGGUAUUGGUCAUACGCGCUAUUCAACUUCUGCCGCAUCGGAGGUGGUCAAUUGCCAGCCAUUUGUAGUGCAUACGCUGCACGGUGCUAUUGCGGUGGCACAUAAUGGAGAAUUAGUAAAUUCAGAAUCACUUCGACGUGAUUUGCUAAGUCGCGGCGUGGGAUUAUCCACCCACAGCGAUACCGAAUUAAUCAGUCAAUCACUAUGCCUAUGCCCGGACGGUGUAUCUGAGAAGGACGGACCAGAUUGGCCGGCUCGCAUACGAUAUUUUAUGCAAUUGGCUCCGCUGUCUUACUCGCUUGUGAUUAUGUUUAAAGAUAAGAUUUAUGCCGCGCGUGAUCCUUACGGUAAUAGGCCACUUUGUCUUGGAAAAAUAAUGCCUAUUAAUGGCGAAGCGAAUGCUAAAGUUGAAGAUGUACGCGCUGAUGGCUGGGUGGUUUCGAGUGAGAGUUGUGGUUUCUUAUCAAUUGGCGCACGGUAUGUACGGGAAGUGGAACCGGGUGAGAUAGUGGAAUUGACUCGGAACGGUUUCCGUACCAUUGAUGUUGUGAAACUGCCUGACUACAAAAAAGUAUCAUUUUGUAUAUUUGAAUAUGUGUACUUUGCGCGGGGAGACUCAAUCUUUGAAGGCCAAAUGGUGUAUUCAGUACGCAUGCAGUGUGGUAAGCAGUUGGCACGUGAGGCUCUUAUAGAUGCUGAUAUAGUUAGUUCUGUGCCAGAGUCAGGUACAGCCGCGGCACAUGGCUAUGCUAGAGAGUCCGGAUUACCAUUCGCGGAAGUGCUUUGUAAAAACCGUUAUGUGGGCCGUACCUUUAUUCAGCCAUCCACACGUUUGCGAAAAUUAGGUGUUGCUAAGAAAUUUGGAGCUCUCUCAGAGAAUGUGGCUGGAAAGCGACUUGUGCUGAUUGAUGACUCUAUUGUGCGUGGUAAUACAAUCGGACCGAUUAUUAAGCUGUUGCGCGAUGCGGGUGCAGCGCAAGUACACAUACGCAUAGCGAGUCCCCCGCUGCAGUACCCUUGCUAUAUGGGGAUUAACAUUCCGACUCGUGAAGAGCUGAUUGCCAAUAAUUUGAAUGCAGAACAAUUAGCGCGGCAUGUAGGCGCUGAUAGUUUAGAAUAUUUAAGCGUAGAGGGGCUGGUGAAAGCGGUGGAAUUGAAUAAACAGGCCUCAAAUCCGGGCAAAAGUGGAUAUUGCACGGCUUGUUUAACCGGCGAAUAUCCGGGGGGGAUACCGGAGGAGUUGAGCUGGUAAAUUGUGGAGCCUUUAUGAAAUAUAUACAUAUGUAUAUAAACCGUACAAACUGUCACAAAACACAACAUAAGACAUAAAUGUGGAAAAUAAUUUUUAAGACGCACUCGAAAAGCCUUAUAUUUAUGUAUUUAAACUAUUUCACAUAUACACAAUGACCUGUAUAUAUUAGUUACUUUAUAACUUUAUUGCAUUACAUUACAUAAUUAGCUUAAUAUUAUAAAUAAAAUAUUGAUUAAAAGUGUAUAUUUGUAUAUUCAAUGUAUUUUUACAUUUGAAAAGUUGAGACAAAUGGUCUUACAUAUGUAUGUACAUAAAAAACGCUUGUGUUAAAAUGAAUUGUAAGCAGAUUCUGCUUCUUUGGAAAGCGCUCAUAGUUUGUUUAUCAUUGUCCCUUCUAUAAAUAUAUAAUAUAUACGUAAUUCUGAUUUAUUUACUUAAUUCCCGACAAAAAGCUUACAUGCAUUUUUCAACAUAUUUGGAUUCUCAAUAAAAACAUUUGUAUAUGAGUAUGUAUGUAGAUAAGCUAAUAAAUAAAUAAUAACGAAGCCUGUACAGACUUUAGUCGAAUUAGCCAAAAACGUAGAAACUUGUCAUAGCAUAUCUAUGAAAUUCAUAAAAAUGCAUCAGCCGUUCGUAGGCGGCUUAGAAUAAACUGUAGGUACCUCUAUUUGCUGGAAAAACAUCAAGACGCAUAUCACGAAGGAGGAUCGUUUCAACGGUUACAAAGCACUAAUUAUGUAAUCUGAAAUAACCUUAAAUAAUAUGUAUUUUUAUAAAAAUUCUGCAAUUUUUGCGAGAAAAUUCUCAAUAUUCUCCUAUCUAAAUUUAUAAUAUUCUUCAAUUAAUUAUUGUUGGGAAAAGGGACAGCUUGAACACUUGGCACUUCUAAGCUAAGUUUCACCACAAGAUAUUAUAGGCCAAUAUAUUAUAUAUACCUGAAUGGAAAUGAUUUACCAAUUUGUAUCAAUCAGAUUUUCAUAACUAACCGAAGCAGCUAAGUAAUAGGAUACCUCGGCACAUUGAAAUCGUGCUAGGUGACCGGGUUAAAAAUGCCACCUUGAAACAUAUUAAGUUUAUGGAAGGAAGUCUAUUCGAGCCUGGUUUAUUCCAGCGAAAAAAUCGUAGAAGGUGAAUACGAGACCUCACUCAAUUAAAAUGGAAUACAUAUUUCAUCACCAAACGAUGACAAAGUUUAAAUAUCAAUUAGCCAUAUUUAUAUGACUUGUUUAUUUUCGCGGUUACAUUUGAAUCCGCUCAUCAAUACAGUUUAUUAUUUUGCAUAUUUAGUAUAUUUUAGUGUUAUCUUAAGAUUUUUAAUAAAAUUGGCCCAUCAGCUCACCGAUCAAGGCUAAUUGCAAGGAUGACAAAUUUUACUGAACCUCGUUCGGUGAGGCAAAAAGCCAGUAAAAUUUGUACUGAGAAAGCCCAUUUUGUAAGGUUAUUGCAUAAUUUUUGACUAAAAAAAUCGUAUAUGCAUAAGUACAUACAUAUGUUCAUAUGAAAUAGAAAAUUUUUGUUUCUUUUUUUGAAGACUAUACAAAUAUGUCAAAAGCUUUGAAAAGUUCAUUUAUAUUUUUCAUUCGCAAAAUAAUCGUUUUAUUUUGAUUUUAAUUCAUCACUUACAAAAUAAGAGUUAUUUGCUCGUAGAAUAAUAGUUACGCGAAGAGCUUUAUUUUUUACUUAAGCAAUAAGAGUUGCUUGGCCUCGGCAAAUAAUACUCUCAGGCCAAGUUAUAAUAUAUUUUUUCAUCAAGACAUAACAGUUAUAUGAUGAGUAUUACAUUCAGAUCACGAAUAGACAGAAGUGAAAAUACAUGAUGGGGAUUCUGCACAAGCUAUGGUAAUAUUAUAUUUUGGAUUUUUAAGUACUUAAGCUUUUUAAGAUCAGCUGAUUGAGCGGUUUGAAUGGAAUGGACG
rnacentral:misc_RNA from 1 species